ensembl:lncRNA
UUCCUCCUCUGGGCCUCGGGACACCCUCCCUUGGGUUCUUCCCAGAGGUGCCCUCUUGACCUCAUGUGGGGUGCAGGUGCCAGCUUCGGGACAGCUAGGGCUGCCAAGCCAGAGAACUCCCUUGGUGGUCAGCCCUGGGACUGUGGUGGCCAGGCCACUCUGAUGGGGUGGGGGCAGCCACCUAAUCAGCCUCCUUUUCCUCCUUGGCUACAGGGUGUUCACCGCCACCCUGAGGAAGCUCAGGAGAAGUCCCUAAGACCUAGUCCUCCAGGGAUGCCAUUCAAGCUUCCCCCCAGCUGGGCCUCACCCCCAGACAGGGUGAAUAAACUCAGGCACAUCCGGGCCUGGGCAGCCUGCAGCCCAGAAAUACCCCACUGCGCCACAAUGAAGAGAAUCCUUCUUGAAGGAGCUGAGGCUUUAAGCACUUUCAGAAAUCCUCUGACCUUGCAUGAGACCAGGCAGGCUGCCCGUGCACAUGUCCAGCUGGCCCCGCCAAGGUCAGAGGGAGCUGCCCGGCCCAGCGGGGCGGAGGAGCUGGCCUGGCCCGCCGUGCAGUCAGCGGUGGGGCCUCCUUGCCGUUCUCAAGGCCAGGGCCACCGAGGAGGGUACCCCCGGGGGCCUGCCCGGCUGCAGCAUUGGCUCCGUGCCAGCAGGGGCCAGCUCCCCUCUCCUCCUCUCUGAACCCCAAUCAACACAAAGCCUUCAAAUUACUGGGAUGCCUGAACCCCAAUCCUGCAACACUACCUGUGGGCCGGAGGGUGUGAGGAAGGGUUUAUGGCUGGGCCGGGGUGGAGGGGCACUGGGGUCUCUAACAGGGGUCUUUGAAAGAGUCAAUAUUCCUGAAGGUCCUGGCACUGAACUGGACCUCACAAACAUCUGCUCACAAUGAUAGAAGAUUCAUAAACAUCUCGCAUGGGCUGAAUGUUUGUGUCCCCCUGAAAUCCACAUGUUGACAACUAACCCCCAGUGCAAUGGCAUCAGGAGGUGGUCUGGUCAGGAAAGGGAGCCUCAGGAAUGGGCUUACUGUCCUAAUAAAGGGCUUCCCAGGUGGUGCUAGUGGCAAAGAGCCUGCCUGCCAAUGCAGGGGACAUAAGAGAUGGAGGUUCGGUCCCUGGGUCAGGAAGAUCCUCUGGAGAAGGGCAUGGCAACCCACGCCAGUAUUCUUGCCUGAAGAACCCCAUGGACAGAGGAGCCUGGUGGCUACCAUCCACUGGGUCGCAGAGUCGGACACAAUUGAAGUGACUUAGCAUGCAUGCAUGUCUUAAUAAAGGGAAACUCAGAGAGCAUCUUCACCCUUCUGCCCUGUGAGGACGCAGCAAAAAAAGAUGGCCAUCUAUGAACCAGAAGAGGACCUCAUCCAGCGCUGAAUCAGACUCCAGCCUCCAGAACAGUGAGGACUAAAUUUCUGUUUUAUAAGCCUUCAGGCUGUGGUGCUCUGUGAGAGCAUCCUGAGCAGACUAACACCCACCCUCACCCUCCUGACACGAGGGACUGUGGCCCAUGGAAGCCUUCAGCUGCCCCAGUGACAUCCCCUGGAGAGAGGAAGGGUAUCAGGUCCCCCUUUACUGAGAUCAAGCUAAGGCUCAGAGAGGUGAAGGCUUCUGCCUAAGAUCACCGAGCUGAGAGGAGUCAAACCUGGAUACGUGAUGCUGAGGCUGUUUCACCAUCUUUUACGUUGGAUCCAUCUGGAAACUGGAGGUCACCUUGCUUGUCUGGUUAUAGCUGCAGGAUGAGCAGCAGGGGUGGCCUGGCGUGGCAGCCACAGGGCAGAGACCCCAGCUCAGCCUGGAGGGGCCUCCAGGAGAGCCUCCUGUCCUGACAGCCUGAACGCACGUAUCUGGCGCGGGCAUCUGUGCAGACGGAUCGGACUGGCACUCGGGCAGCGAUUGUGUGGGGACCAGGGAGCCGGGAGAAGGGCUCUGCAUUCCUUCCCUGACAUUUUGCAACGACCACAUGCUUGGCUCUGAGCUCCUGGCGUCCCCACCAGCGACAUUCCUUCGGCACAUCAGCUGCUGCCACAUCAGACCUUUCCUGUCCAGCGCUCCCUGAGGCCCCGGGGCCUACCACCUUCACCCAGGGCCACAUGGGUGAGGCACCAACCAGUCCUCCUGAAUUCUGGCCAUUUCAGGAGGUCUGAGCUGCUUUGUGUGAGGCUGUGGCCAUAACCUAGAAGCUGAGGGCCUGAACAGGAGGAAACGGCUUUUUAAAAAGACUUCAUUAUGUGACAUUUUCACCUCCAUGAAAAAGUAAAUUGAAUAAAUU